UCGUCGGUGGUUGCCAUUCUAUGGUUUGUGACUCUACUCCGAGCUCCACACCUGAACACAUCCCUCUAUUUGAGACGAGUAUAACUGAUAGCUGCAGCCCGCUCCGCCAGUGGCUACCUCGCCGUAUCUGGGCUAUCCUACCCCAGGCGCAUGACAGUUUUGGCCCGGACACUUUACUCCUUCGUCCACCAACACUUUGUGACGGCACUCAUGACGAAUGCCUACCGUUACGUCUAUGUUUGCAGUGUAUUUGUGUGUGAUAUGUACAUUCUGAUGAAUAUAAUUAUGAAAAUGCA